UGUGUAGGCGGCCGCGCAAGUCGGAUGUGAAAGCCCCGGGCUCAACCCGGGAAGUGCACCCGAAACUGCAUGGCUCGAGUACCGGAGAGGUUGGUGGAAUUCUCGGUGUAGAGGUGAAAUUCGUAGAUAUCGAGAGGAACACCGGUGGCGAAGGCGGCCAACUGGACGAGUACUGACGCUGAGACACGAAAGCGUGGGGAGCAAACAGGAUUAGAUACCCUGGUAGUCCACGCCGUAAACGAUGGGUGCUAGGUGUCACGGGCUUUGACUCCUGUGGUGCCGUAGCCAACGCAUUAAGCACCCGCCUGGGAGUACGGCCGCAAGGCUAAA
rnacentral:rRNA from 1 species